UACGUAGGGGGCAAGCGUUGUCCGGAUUUACUGGGUGUAAAGGGUGCUCAGGUGGCUUUGUAAGUCAGCAGUGAAAUCUUAGAGCUCAACUCUGAAACUGCCGUUGAUACUACUUGGCUUGAGUAUGGAAGAGGUUGAUGGAAUUUCAGGUGUAGCAGUGAAAUGCGUAGAUAUCUGAAAGAACACCAGUGGCGAAGGCGGUCAACUGGUCCAUUACUGACACUAAAGCACGAAAGCGUGGGUAGCGAACAGG
rnacentral:rRNA from 1 species